rnacentral:rRNA from 1 species
CCUACGGGCGGCAGCAGUGAGGAAUAUUGGUCAAUGGACGCAAGUCUGAACCAGCCAUGCCGCGUGCAGGAAGACGGCUCUAUGAGUUGUAAACUGCUUUUGUACGAGGGUAAACGCAGAUACGCGUAUCUGUCUGAAAGUAUCGUACGAAUAAGGAUCGGCUAACUCCGUGCCAGCAGUCGCGGUAAUACGGAGGAUUCAAGCGUUAUCCGGAUUUAGUGGGUUUAAAGGGUGCGUAGGGGGUCGGAUAAGUUAGAGGUGAAAUCCCGAGGCUCAACGUCGGAAUUGCCUCUGAUACUGUUCGGCUAGAGAGUAGUUGCGGUAGGCGGAAUGUAUGGUGUAGCGGUGAAAUGCUUAGAGAUCAUACAGAACACCGAUUGCGAAGGCAGCUUACCAAGCUACUUCUGACGUUGAGGCACGAAAGCGUGGGGAGCAAACAGGAUUAGAUACCCCAGUAGUC